AUUGACAGAUUGAUAGCUCUUUCAUGAUUUUGAUGGGUGGUGGUGCAUGGCCGUUUUUGGUUGGUGGAUCGAUCCGUCUGGUUAAUUCCGUUAACGAACGAGACCUCGGCCACUCCGAAUAGCGCGGCGGACGUCGCGGCCUCCGGGCCGUCUUCCGCACGAGCUUCUUAGAGGGACCGUCCCCCGCCGGGGAAGGAGGUGCGAGGCAACGACAGGUCUGUGAUGCCCUUAGAUGUUCUGGGCCGCACGCGCAUUACACUGACGCGUCCAACGGGGUGACUCCCGACCCGAAGGGGCCGGGGAAUCCGCAAGGCGCGUCGUGAUGGGGAUUGAACGUUGCAAUUGUUGUUCACGAACGAGGAAUUCCUAGUAGGCGCGGGUCAUCAACCCGCGCCGAUUACGUCCCUGCCCUUUGUACACACC
rnacentral:rRNA from 1 species